rnacentral:rRNA from 1 species
GACGAACGCUGGCGGCGUGCUUAACACAUGCAAGUCGAACGGAAAGGCCCUGCUUUUGUGGGGUGCUCGAGUGGCGAACGGGUGAGUAACACGUGAGUAACCUGCCCUUGACUCUGGGAUAACUUCAGGAAACUGGGGCUAAUACCGGAUAGGAGCUCCUGCUGCAUGGUGGGGGUUGGAAAGUUUCGGCGGUUUGGGAUGGACUCGCGGCUUAUCAGCUUGUUGGUGGGGUAGUGGCUUACCAAGGCUUUGACGGGUAGCCGGCCUGAGAGGGUGACCGGCCACAUUGGGACUGAGAUACGGCCCAGACUCCUACGGGAGGCAGCAGUGGGGAAUAUUGCACAAUGGGCGGAAGCCUGAUGCAGCAACGCCGCGUGCGGGAUGACGGCCUUCGGGUUGUAAACCGCUUUCGCCUGUGACGAAGCGUGAGUGACGGUAAUGGGUAAAGAAGCACCGGCUAACUACGUG